rnacentral:rRNA from 1 species
GAUGAACGCUGGCGGCGUGCCUAAUACAUGCAAGUCGAACGGAGAUUGUAGCAAUACAUUCUUAGUGGCGAACGGGUGAGUAACGCGUUGGUGACCUGCCCCGAAGUGUGGGAUAACAGCCCGAAAGGGUUGCUAAUACCGCAUGUGGUUUUUCGGAUUAGCUGCCGAAUUUCUAAAGGAGAAAUUCGCUUCGGGAGGGGCCUGCGUCCCAUCAGUUAGUUGGUAGGGUAAAAGCCUACCAAGGCGAUGACGGGUAGGGGACCUGAGAGGGUGGCCCCCCACAAUGGAACUGAAACACGGUCCAUACACCUACGGGUGGCAGCAGUAGGGAAUAUUGGUUAAUGGGCGAAAGCCUGAACCAGCAACGCCGCGUGUGCGAUGACGGCCUUCGGGUUGUAAAGCACUUUUUGAGGGGAUGAGGAAGGACAGUACCCUCAGAAUAAGUCUCGGCUAACUACGUGCCAGCCGCCGCCGUAACAC